rnacentral:rRNA from 1 species
UACGAAGGGGGGCUAGCGUUGUUCGGAUUUACUGGGCGUAAAGCGCACGUAGGCGGACUAUUAAGUCAGGGAUGAAAUCCCGGGGCUCAACCCCGGAACUGCCUUUGAUACUGGUAGUCUUGAGUUCGAGAGAGGUGAGUGGAAUUCCGAGUGUAGAGGUGAAAUUCGUAGAUAUUCGGAGGAACACCAGUGGCGAAGGGCGGCUCACUGGCUCGAUACUGACGCUGAGGUGCGAAAGCGUGGGGAGCAAACAGG